rnacentral:rRNA from 1 species
UAUACCGUGAAACUGCGAAUGGCUCAUUAAAUCAGUUAUCGUUUAUUUGAUAGUACCUUACUACUUGGAUAACCGUGGUAAUUCUAGAGCUAAUACAUGCUGAAAACCCCGACUUCGGAAGGGGUGUAUUUAUUAGAUAAAAAACCAAUGCCCUUCGGGGCUCCUUGGUGAUUCAUAAUAACUUCUCAGAUCGCAUGGCCUUGCGCCGGCGACGGUUCAUUCAAAUUUCUGCCCUAUCAACUUUCGAUGGUAAGGUAUUGGCUUACCAUGGUUUCAACGGGUACCGGGGAAUAAGGGUUCGAUUCCGGAGAGGGAGCCUGAGAAACGGCUACCACAUCCAAGGAAGGCAGCAGGCGCGCAAAUUACCCAAUCCCGACACGGGGAGGUAGUGACAAUAAAUACUGAUACAGGGCUCUUUUGGGUCUUGUAAUUGGAAUGAGUACAAUUUAAACCUCUUAACGAGGAACAAUUGGAGGGCAAGUCUGGUGCCAGCAGCCGCGGUAAUUCCAGCUCCAAUAGCGUAUAUUAAAGUUGUUGCAGUUAAAAAGCUCGUAGUUGAACCUUUGGCCUGGCUGGCAGGUCCGCCUCACCGCGUGCACUUGUCCGGCCGGGCCUUUUCUUCUGGAGAACCGCAUGCCCUUCACUGGGUGUGUUGGGGACCAGGACUUUUACUUUGAAAAAAUUAGAGUGUUCAAAGCAGGCCUUUGCUCGAAUACGUUAGCAUGGAAUAAUAGAAUAGGACGUGCGGUCCUAUUUUGUUGGUUUCUAGGACCGCCGUAAUGAUUAAUAGGGCCAGUCGGGGGCAUCAGUAUUCAAUUGUCAGAGGUGAAAUUCUUGGAUUUACUGAAGACUAACUACUGCGAAAGCAUUUGCCAAGGAUGUUUUCAUUAAUCAGUGAACGAAAGUUAGGGGAUCGAAGACGAUCAGAUACCGUCGUAGUCUUAACCAUAAACUAUGCCGACUAGGGAUCGGGCGGUGUUAUUAUUUUGACUCGCUCGGCACCUUACGAGAAAU